GCUCGCGGCGCGCGGCCCCGGGGACGACCCGGGGGCGCGCGUCCCGACGAGCUCCGAACAACAACCCUCCGGGCGCGGCGAGCGCCAAGGAAUCGAAGCGGAAGGGGCGGCCGCCUCACCCGGUGCGGGCGCGCCCCGGCAGGGGACGCGGCAUCGGCGUGGGGACCCGCCGCCCGCCUGUGAACCUUUUUAGACGACUCUCGGCAACGGAUAUCUCGGCUCUCGCAUCGAUGAAGAACGUAGCGAAAUGCGAUACUUGGUGUGAAUUGCAGAAUCCCGUGAACCAUCGAGUCUUUGAACGCAAGUUGCGCCCGAGGCCACUCGGCCGAGGGCACGCCUGCCUGGGCGUCACGCCACCCAUCGCCACCCCGGCGGCAUUCCGGUGCCCGCCCGGGGAGCGGAGACUGGCCGUCCGUGCCCGAGCCCUCGGCGCGCGGUCGGCAGAAAAGGAGGACACCGCGCGGCGCGGCGCGGCGUGUGGGGGUUGAGAGGCGAUCCGUCGCCGAUCGUACGCCGCGCCCGCAUUCCGCCGCGCGCCGUGUCACCCGUGGGACCGGACCCGCCCGCAGCGGCGGGCGCUCGGACCGCGACCCCAGGUCAGGCGUGGCCACCCGCUGAAUUUAA
rnacentral:rRNA from 1 species